GGCUCCAAUGAGGCAUAGUGGUUAGAGGGUUGGACUAGGACUUUAGAGACCAGGGUUCAAUUCCCAGCUCAGCCA